UGGGAACUUUUGGGUAUGUUUAUGUUUUUUAUUCUGCUUAUAUAAGGCAACUAAGAGGUAAUCUUGAAGGAUCUCUGUCUCUAUAUCUGUUUAUGGAAUUAAAGCUCUUUAUAGCUACUUCUUUCUUUCUGCAGUUGUUUCCUUAAAAUCUGAAAACCUAGCUAAUUAGACUAAUUUCUUGUUCACAGUUACUUGGCUCCGGAGUAUGCAA
rnacentral:misc_RNA from 1 species